rnacentral:tRNA from 1 species
GUCUGGGUGGCUCAGUCGGUUGAGCGUCUGACUUCAGCUCAGGUCAUGAUCUCUCCUGUUCGUGAGUUCGAGCCCCGCAUCAGACU